AGAAUCAACGCUGGCGGCGUGCCUAACACAUGCAAGUCGAACGCGAAAGUCCCGCAAGGGGCAAGUAGAGUGGCAAACGGGUGAGUAACACGUGGGUGACCUGCCUCCGAGUGGGGGAUAACGUCCCGAAAGGGACGCUAAUACCGCAUAACAUCCUGCCUUUGGAAAGGCGGAGAUCAAAGCUGGGGAUCGCAAGACCUGGCGCUUGAAGAGGGGCCCGCGCCUGAUUAGCUAGUUGGUGAGGUAACGGCUCACCAAGGCGACGAUCAGUA
rnacentral:rRNA from 1 species